GUCGUACGCACUGGCCCAACUGAUUGAUGGUGCUUGCACCUGAUUGACGAUGGAUCACCAGUGAGUGGCGGACGGGUGAGUAACACGUAGGUAACCUGCCCCGGAGCGGGGGAUAACAUUUGGAAACAGAUGCUAAUACCGCAUAACAACAAAAGCCACAUGGCUUUUGUUUGAAAGAUGGCUUUGGCUAUCACUCUGGGAUGGACCUGCGGUGCAUUAGCUAGUUGGUAAGGUAACGGCUUACCAAGGCGAUGAUGCAUAGCCGAGUUGAGAGACUGAUCGGCCACAAUGGAACUGAGACACGGUCCAUACUCCUACGGGAGGCAGCAGUAGGGAAUCUUCCACAAUGGGCGCAAGCCUGAUGGAGCAACACCGCGUGAGUGAAGAAGGGUUUCGGCUCGUAAAGCUCUGUUGUUGGAGAAGAACGUGCGUGAGAGUAACUGUUCACGCAGUGACGGUAUCCAACCAGAAAGUCACGGCUAACUACGUGCCAGCAGCCGCGGUAAUACGUAGGUGGCAAGCGUUAUCCGGAUUUAUUGGGCGUAAAGCGAGCGCAGGCGGUUGCUUAGGUCUGAUGUGAAAGCCUUCGGCUUAACCGAAGAAGUGCAUCGGAAACCGGGCGACUUGAGUGCAGAAGAGGACAGUGGAACUCCAUGUGUAGCGGUGGAAUGCGUAGAUAUAUGGAAGAACACCAGUGGCGAAGGCGGCUGUCUGGUCUGCAACUGACGCUGAGGCUCGAAAGCAUGGGUAGCGAACAGGAUUAGAUACCCUGGUAGUCCAUGCCGUAAACGAUGAGUGCUAGGUGUUGGAGGGUUUCCGCCCUUCAGUGCCGGAGCUAACGCAUUAAGCACUCCGCCUGGGGAGUACGACCGCAAGGUUGAAACUCAAAGGAAUUGACGGGGGCCCGCACAAGCGGUGGAGCAUGUGGUUUAAUUCGAAGCUACGCGAAGAACCUUACCAGGUCUUGACAUCUUGCGCUAACCUUAGAGAUAAGGCGUUCCCUUCGGGGACGCAAUGACAGGUGGUGCAUGGUCGUCGUCAGCUCGUGUCGUGAGAUGUUGGGUUAAGUCCCGCAACGAGCGCAACCCUUGUUACUAGUUGCCAGCAUUAAGUUGGGCACUCUAGUGAGACUGCCGGUGACAAACCGGAGGAAGGUGGGGACGACGUCAGAUCAUCAUGCCCCUUAUGACCUGGGCUACACACGUGCUACAAUGGACGGUACAACGAGUCGCAAGCUCGCGAGAGUAAGCUAAUCUCUUAAAGCCGUUCUCAGUUCGGACUGUAGGCUGCAACUCGCCUACACGAAGUCGGAAUCGCUAGUAAUCGCGGAUCAGCAUGCCGCGGUGAAUACGUUCCCGGGCCUUGUACACACCGCCCGUCACACCAUGGGAGUUUGUAACGCCCAAAGUCGGUGGCC
rnacentral:rRNA from 1 species